rnacentral:rRNA from 1 species
UCUCUCUGAAUCUGCGAACGGCUCCGCAAACCAGUUGUAAACUAUAGCAAGCAAUCCUGUGGUUGGGCUUCGGCUCGGCCAUGGGUAACAUGGAUAACCCUGGUAAUUCUGAGGCUAAUACAAGAACGUACAACCUGGCUAACCGGCAACGGAAGGCUGGGGAACGUGCAACGUAUCGUAAUGGAUACCGGGAAAGGGUGCACGUUUGGACCGCGCUAAAAACAGUCCUUGGUAAGCCCUCACGGGCGAGCCUUGGCCUGAGCGGCUCUUGCGGUGUGCUUCUGACCUAUCAACUAGACGGCAGCGUAAGGGACAUGCUAUGGUUACAACGGGUACAGAGGAUAAGGGUUCGAUCCUGGAGAGUGGGCCUGAGAGAUU